rnacentral:rRNA from 1 species
AUGGUAUCAUGGGGAGACGGUGAGGAAUCGUCUGAGGACCACAGCAAUGCUACUAGCGAGGGCUUAAAGACACUUUACGACUUAGAUUGGGAAGGGUUAGCUGAUGGAGCAGCACCUCCACGUUGUAAAUGUGGAGCCAUUGCCGCAAAGUUUGUUGAUUGGGAAGGAUAUGAGACAGGAAGGAAAUUUUUGGGAUGUGCAGGGCAGUUUGGGGAAAGAUGUGAUUAUGUUAAAUGGGUAGAUGGAGAUUGGCCAUCAUCACUGCAGAAAGCUAUUGGAAAAUUAUGGGAGAUGUAUGGAGAAGCCAAACAAGGAAGAGUUAGUGAUGCUCUGUACUGUAUGGAGGAAAAGUUCAAGUUUAGGGAUGAAAUAACCAAGCCCCACCAUGAUCUGAAGAUUGUCCAAGAAGAAGCGAACAAGACUGUGAAUGAGAAGCAGAUCACACUUGCUCUGAAGGCAAAGGCUGAACAAGCACUCAUUGAUGCAAGGGCAGAACUGGAGGAGAAGAAAAAGCUGGAUGUUGCAGCUAGUAACAUGCAUAAGGUGUUGAGGAUCAAGGCAGAGAAGGACAGGGAUAAAAUCAAGGAAGAGAAGAGAAAAUUGGAGUUAAUGAUUGCAGAUUUGGUCAAGCAGAAAGAAGGUACCAGGGCAAAGCUGAGGAAGAUUAAAGAAUUAUGUGAUGAGUAG